ACGGGAGGCAGCAGUGGGGAAUAUUGGACAAUGGGGGGAAACCCUGAUCCAGCGACGCCGCGUGAGUGAAGAAGUAUUUCGGUAUGUAAAGCUCUAUCAGCAAGGAAGAAAAUGACGGUACUUGACUAAGAAGCUCCGGCUAAAUACGUGCCAGCAGCCGCGGUAAUACGUAUGGAGCAAGCGUUAUCCGGAUUUACUGGGUGUAAAGGGAGCGUAGACGGCGAAGCAAGUCUGAAGUGAAAUGCCGGGGCUUAACCCCGGAACUGCUUUGGAAACUGUUUUGCUAGAGUGCAGGAGAGGUAAGCGGAAUUCCUAGUGUAGCGGUGAAAUGCGUAGAUAUUAGGAGGAACACCAGUGGCGAAGGCGGCUUACUGGACUGUAACUGACGUUGAGGCUCGAAAGCGUGGGGAGCAAACAGGAUUAGAUACCCUGGUA
rnacentral:rRNA from 1 species